AAGAUUUAGAUCAGAUCUAGAUCUAGUCUCUUUAAUUUUCUUUUCAUUUUCCCCCUUCUCUUUCACUCUCUUCUCUCUCCCUCUCCUCUCUCUACCAUUCCAGUUUCCGACUGCCCCCACCCCCUCCUUAGACGGUCAACGCCGCCAGCUCAGGUCAUUUCUGAAGAGAUGGAUAUGACAAAAAAGAAAUAUCUUAGAGGUGAAGGAACAUAUUUGAAGGCAUUGAAAGAUAAAAAAUUACAGGGUCAGCUUGCUGUGAAAGAAGAUUUGUAUGGAAAAUCUGCAGCAGCUGCCGCGAAGGCUGAGAAGAUUUUGGUCCUUACACUCUUGAAUUUACCCCUAGCGGUCGCUACAUGGCUGCAGCUGGACGAAAGGGUCACAUUGCUAUUGUAGAUAUGAAAAACAUGAAUGCCAUUAAAGAACUACAGCAAACAAUGGAGCCUUUCGUCGAUACCCGUCGGCCCUUGAAGUCGUAGGUGCUGCUGAUGAUGGGGCAGUUGAUCCUAAGGAGUAUGAAGCUAUGAAGCAUCAAGUUGACCUGCUAACAAGAACACUUAAUUCCUCGGAGGCCAGGAUGUUGGGGAGGAUACGGAUCAUGUCUCUAAUACCGAAUGUUGACCUUUUUGAUUAGUGUGCUUUUGGAUUCUAAUUCGGCUAUGUUUAAAUGGAUAUGUAUAUUACGUUUAAGAGUUUGAAUGUAGUUUUAAUUCGAAUUAGAAGUACUUUUAAUUUUAAGAUGUUUAAGUGUUUGAAUGUAGUUUAUGAUGUUUAAGUGUUUGAAUAGACAAUGUUUAAGUGUUCAAGUGUUUGAACAUUGUUUAUGGUUGUUGUGUUGCA